UACGUAGGCAGCGAGCGUUGUUCGGAGUUACUGGGCGUAAAGCGUGCGUAGGCGGUGUCUUAAGUUUGUUGUGAAAUCUCCCGGCUUAACCGGGAGGGUGCGGCGAAUACUGAGAUGCUGGAGUGCCGGAGAGGUAAGCGGAAUUCCUGGUGUAGCGGUGAAAUGCGUAGAUAUCAGGAGGAACACCUGCGGUGUAGACGGCUUACUGGACGGUAACUGACGCUGAGGCACGAAAGCGUGGGUAGCAAACAGGG
rnacentral:rRNA from 1 species